rnacentral:rRNA from 1 species
ACGAACGCUGGCGGCGUGCCUAAUACAUGCAAGUCGAACGCUUCUUUUUCCACCGGAGCUUGCUCCACCGGAAAAAGAGGAGUGGCGAACGGGUGAGUAACACGUGGGUAACCUGCCCAUCAGAAGGGGAUAACACUUGGAAACAGGUGCUAAUACCGUAUAACAAUCGAAACCGCAUGGUUUUGAUUUGAAAGGCGCUUUCGGGUGUCGCUGAUGGAUGGACCCGCGGUGCAUUAGCUAGUUGGUGAGGUAACGGCUCACCAAGGCGACGAUGCAUAGCCGACCUGAGAGGGUGAUCGGCCACAUUGGGACUGAGACACGGCCCAAACUCCUACGGGAGGCAGCAGUAGGGAAUCUUCGGCAAUGGACGAAAGUCUGACCGAGCAACGCCGCGUGAGUGAAGAAGGUUUUCGGAUCGUAAAACUCUGUUGUUAGAGAAGAACAAGGAUGAGAGUAACUGUUCAUCCCUUGACGGUAUCUAACCAGAAAGCCACGGCUAACUACGUGCCAGCAGCCGCGGUAAUACGUAGGUGGCAAGCGUUGUCCGGAUUUAUUGGGCGUAAAGCGAGCGCAGGCGGUUUCUUAAGUCUGAUGUGAAAGCCCCCGGCUCAACCGGGGAGGGUCAUUGGAAACUGGGAGACUUGAGUGCAGAAGAGGAGAGUGGAAUUCCAUGUGUAGCGGUGAAAUGCGUAGAUAUAUGGAGGAACACCAGUGGCGAAGGCGGCUCUCUGGUCUGUAACUGACGCUGAGGCUCGAAAGCGUGGGGAGCAAACAGGAUUAGAUACCCUGGUAGUCCACGCCGUAAACGAUGAGUGCUAAGUGUUGGAGGGUUUCCGCCCUUCAGUGCUGCAGCUAACGCAUUAAGCACUCCGCCUGGGGAGUACGACCGCAAGGUGGAAACUAAAAGGAAUUGACGGGGGCCCGCACAAGCGGUGGAGCAUGUGGUUUAAUUCGAAGCAACGCGAAGAACCUUACCAGGUCUUGACAUCCGAUGCAUAGCUUAGAGAUAAGUGAAGUCCUUCGGGACAUCGAGACAGGUGGUGCAUGGUUGUCGUCAGCUCGUGUCGUGAGAUGUUGGGUUAAGUCCCGCAACGAGCGCAACCCUUAUUGUUAGUUGCCAUCAUUUAGUUGGGCACUCUAGCAAGACUGCCGGUGACAAACCGGAGGAAGGUGGGGAUGACGUCAAAUCAUCAUGCCCCUUAUGACCUGGGCUACACACGUGCUACAAUGGGAAGUACAACGAGUCGCAAAGUCGCGAGGCUAAGCUAAUCUCUUAAAGCUUCUCUCAGUUCGGAUUGUAGGCUGCAACUCGCCUACAUGAAGCCGGAAUCGCUAGUAAUCGCGGAUCAGCACGCCGCGGUGAAUACGUUCCCGGGCCUUGUACACACCGCCCGUCACACCACGAGAGUUUGUAACACCCGAAGUCGGUGAGGUAACCUUUUGGAGCCAGCCGCCUAAGGUGGGAUAGAUGAUUGGGGUG